GUGCUCACGUUUGCAGCACAUCUACUAAAAUUGGAAGGAUGCAGCAAAGAUUAGCAUGACACCCGGGUAACACACUAAUUUGUGAAUCAUUCCACAUUUUU
rnacentral:snRNA from 1 species